rnacentral:rRNA from 1 species
UAAUGCAGUCGAGCGAACAGAUAAGGAGCUUGCUCCUUUGACGUUAGCGGCGGACGGGUGAGUAACACGUGGGUAACCUACCUAUAAGACUGGGAUAACUUCGGGAAACCGGAGCUAAUACCGGAUAACAUUUGGAACCGCAUGGUUCUAAAGUGAAAGAUGGUUUUGCUAUCACUUAUAGAUGGACCCGCGCCGUAUUAGCUAGUUGGUAAGGUAACGGCUUACCAAGGCGACGAUACGUAGCCGACCUGAGAGGGUGAUCGGCCACACUGGAACUGAGACACGGUCCAGACUCCUACGGGAGGCAGCAGUAGGGAAUCUUCCGCAAUGGGCGAAAGCCUGACGGAGCAACGCCGCGUGAGUGAUGAAGGGUUUCGGCUCGUAAAACUCUGUUAUUAGGGAAGAACAAAUGUGUAAGUAACUGUGCACGUCUUGACGGUACCUAAUCAGAAAGCCACGGCUAACUACGUGCCAGCAGCCGCGGUAAUACGUAGGUGGCAAGCGUUAUCCGGAAUUAUUGGGCGUAAAGCGCGCGUAGGCGGUUUCUUAAGUCUGAUGUGAAAGCCCACGGCUCAACCGUGGAGGGUCAUUGGAAACUGGGAAACUUGAGUGCAGAAGAGGAAAGUGGAAUUCCAUGUGUAGCGGUGAAAUGCGCAGAGAUAUGGAGGAACACCAGUGGCGAAGGCGACUUUCUGGUCUGUAACUGACGCUGAUGUGCGAAAGCGUGGGGAUCAAACAGGAUUAGAUACCCUGGUAGUCCACGCCGUAAACGAUGAGUGCUAAGUGUUAGGGGGUUUCCGCCCCUUAGUGCUGCAGCUAACGCAUUAAGCACUCCGCCUGGGGAGUACGACCGCAAGGUUGAAACUCAAAGGAAUUGACGGGGACCCGCACAAGCGGUGGAGCAUGUGGUUAAUUCGAAGCAACGCGAAGAACCUUACCAAAUCUUGACAUCCUUUGAAAACUCUAGAGAUAGAGCCUUCCCCUUCGGGGGACAAAGUGACAGGUGGUGCAUGGUUGUCGUCAGCUCGUGUCGUGAGAUGUUGGGUUAAGUCCCGCAACGAGCGCAACCCUUAAGCUUAGUUGCCAUCAUUAAGUUGGGCACUCUAGGUUGACUGCCGGUGACAAACCGGAGGAAGGUGGGGAUGACGUCAAAUCAUCAUGCCCCUUAUGAUUUGGGCUACACACGUGCUACAAUGGACAAUACAAAGGGCAGCUAAACCGCGAGGUCAUGCAAAUCCCAUAAAGUUGUUCUCAGUUCGGAUUGUAGUCUGCAACUCGACUACAUGAAGCUGGAAUCGCUAGUAAUCGUAGAUCAGCAUGCUACGGUGAAUACGUUCCCGGGUCUUGUACACACCGCCCGUCACACCACGAGAGUUUGUAACACCCGAAGCCGGUGGAGUAACCAUUUAUGGAGCU